UACGUAGGGGGCAAGUGUUGUCCGGAGUUACUGGGCGUAAAGGGCACGCAGGCGGUUGUGUCAGUUUGCGGGGACAGUGGGUGGCUUAACUGCCCAAGGGUCGCAAAGACGGCACGACUGGAGAGCGAGAGAGGGACCUGGAACUCCGGGUGGAGCGGUGAAAUGCGUAGAUAUCGGGAGGAACACCUGCGGCGAAGGCGGCUUCCUGGACUGCAACUGACGCUGAGGCGCGAAAGCUAGGGGAGCAAACAGG
rnacentral:rRNA from 1 species